AUUGAACGCUGGCGGCAGGCCUAACGCAUGCAAGUCGAGCGGAUGAAGGGAGCUUGCUCCUGGAUUCAGCGGCGGACGGGUGAGUAAUGCCUAGGAAUCUGCCUGGUAGUGGGGGAUAACGUCCGGAAACGGGCGCUAAUACCGCAUACGUCCUGAGGGAGAAAGUGGGGGAUCUUCGGACCUCACGCUAUCAGAUGAGCCUAGGUCGGAUUAGCUAGAUGGUGGGGUAAAGGCCUACCAAGGCGACGAUCCGUAACUGGUCUGAGAGGAUGAUCAGUCAAACUGGGACUGAGACACGUUCCAGACUCCUACAGGAGGCAUCAGUGGUGAAUAUUCGACUAUGGGCGAAAGCCUGGUCCAGCCAUGCCGCGUGUGUGAAGAAGGUCUUCAGAUUGUAAAGCACUUUAAGUUGGGAGGAAGGUCAGUAAGUUAAUACCUUGCUGUUUUGACGUUACCAACAGAAUAAGCACCGGCUAACUUCGUG
rnacentral:rRNA from 1 species